GGUAUUGCAUGCCUGGUGUC
rnacentral:rRNA from 13 species